rnacentral:rRNA from 1 species
AUUGAACGCUGGCGGCAUGCUUUACACAUGCAAGUCGAACGGUAACAGGCCUUCGGGUGCUGACGAGUGGCGAACGGGUGAGUAAUGCAUCGGAACGUGCCCAAUCGUGGGGGAUAACGUAGCGAAAGUUACGCUAAUACCGCAUAAGCCCUGAGGGGGAAAGUGGGGGACCGCAAGGCCUCACGCGAAUGGAGCGGCCGAUGUCAGAUUAGCUAGUUGGUGGGGUAAAGGCCCACCAAGGCGACGAUCUGUAGCGGGUCUGAGAGGAUGAUCCGCCACACUGGGACUGAGACACGGCCCAGACUCCUACGGGAGGCAGCAGUGGGGAAUAUUGGACAAUGGGGGAAACCCUGAUCCAGCGACGCCGCGUGUGUGAAGAAGGCCUGCGGGUUGUAAAGCACUUUCGGUGGGAACGAAAUAUGCCGGGCCGAAUACCCCGGCAGGCUGACGUUACCCAAUGAAGAAAGCACCGGCUAACUACUGUGCCAGCAGCCGCGGUAA